AUUAUUAUUAUUAUUAUUAUUAAUUGUUAUUAUUGUUAUUAUUAUUAUUUAUUUAUUUAUUUUAUUUAUCAUUAUUUGUUUAUUUUUAUUUGAUUGUUAUUAUUAUUAUUGUUAUAUUUGUUUAUUGAUUAAUUAGUUAUUUUAUUUUAAUUAUUAAGUAGAAAAAAAUUGAUUUAUUUGUUCGAUCGAUUUUACUCAGAUGCGUAGCAAUUUUAAAGUUAAAAAUUCAAUUUAACUUUUGAUUUUUACUUCGAGUCCCGUGGCUUUCUCUUGGGCCUUCUCACAACGAGAUUCUUUUAUUUCUUCAAAUGUCUUUCAAAACUUGUAUGAUUUAGUUAUUGUGUUGUAUCCCCAUUCGAUAAACUGUACCCUCAUUCCCGAAAAUGUGUAAUAAUUUACCGCUUUCGUUUACUUUAUUGUAUUAGUUGAUUGUCAAUUCCAAGAUUAAAAUCAACCCAUUCUAUAAAAGAAUAAAAACAAAUACUCGAUCCAACGUCGAGCAAUUUUCACACAAAAAUUAGAACCAUUUCUACACCCACAUAUCUAUCAUUUUCAAAACCUUUAAAUCACCCCAUCUUGUUUCAAUUCAAACACAAAGAAUAAAAACCUCGAUCCAACAUCAAGUGUCUUUUCCCUAAUCAAAUCCAAAUUGGAUACAAAGUCGAGCAACGCCC
rnacentral:lncRNA from 1 species